rnacentral:rRNA from 1 species
AACGAACGCUGGCGGCAUGCCUAACACAUGCAAGUCGAACGAGACCUUCGGGUCUCGUGGCGCACGGGUGCGUAACGCGUUGGAACCUGCCCUUAGGUUCGGAAUAACUCCCCGAAAGGGGUGCUAAUACCGGAUAAUAUCUUCGGACCAAAGAUUUAUCGCCUUUGGAUGGGCCCGCGUUGGAUUAGCUAGUUGGUAGGGUAAAAGCCUACCUAGGCGACGAUCCAUAGCUGGUCUGAGAGGAUGAUCAGCCACACUGGGACUGAGACACGGCCCAGACUCCUACGGGAGGCAGCAGUGGGGAAUAUUGGACAAUGGGCGAAAGCCUGAUCCAGCAAUGCCGCGUGAGUGAUGAAGGCCUUAGGGUUGUAAAGCUCUUUUACCCGGGAUGAUAAUGACAGUACCGGGAGAAUAAGCUCCGGCUAACUCCGUG